AUAUAUAUAUUUAAUAGGAGCAAUUAAUCUCAACUCCAAAGUCUCCUACUCUACAGAAAUUAUUACUA
rnacentral:sRNA from 1 species